UUAAAUAAGUUUUGAACUUUAAUUAAUCAUUUAAAAAUUUAAACUCGAAAGUUACACAGUGGUGUUGCCUGUUGGCACGUGCCGGCCUGCCACAGUGAAUAAAGCGGAAAAAGGUGGAAUCUAGAUCCCCAACGACCAAAUCUUCCCCGUCAAAACAGGGAACUUCUCCAAGAAAACUACGAUCAACGGCUAUAAAUAUUUCUUUAGAUCCGACCGUUGAAUAUUAAAUCGACGCCUGACGUUAAAUCCAAGUGCCUCCACAAUCUCACAUAAAAACCGGUCCACUCUCAUCUCUCCUUGUUCAUCUCUGUCUCUCAAAAGAUAUACUCGUACUUCUCUCUCAAUUUUUUUUUUUUUUAAAAACUGCUUUAAUCUGCGCAGUUAACUAGCUGCUUAUCCUGCGCCUCCUCUGGCCUAAGAAAUGAAGCCGAAGGGGAUAGUAAAGAGUUUGAUGAAAAGAUUCAACGGCUGAGAUUUUAAGAUUCUCAAAAAAUGGACAGUCUGAAAAGCCAGGGGAAGCUAACGAGGACUCAGUCUUCACUUCUACGUUCAUCUCCAACUAUCCGUUCUUCAAUCCACAGCCUUAACUCCAUCAACGAACUUGGAGUUGACCAUGAACCGGACCUUGAAGAGCAGAAGCCGCAUAAACCCGGUUCAAUACCGGUUCGACCGGCUCCGUCUAGGAUAGCUCCCAUUCUUGCGAUUUUAGGGGUUUCUACUUGCACCCUUUUCGUUUUCUUUAACAGGGAUGAUAUACCAACUUCAGAGAAUCUGUUGUUAGCUUUAAUUUUCGUAGCGAUUCCGGUUUCUACUUACACCCUUUUCGUUUUCUUUAACAGGGAUGAUAUACCAACUUCAGAGAAUCUGUUGUUAGCUUUAAUUUUCGUAGCGGUUCUUCUUUUUUUAGCUGGCAAGAAAAAACAGUCAAUUCACCAAGGUUACAUUGUUUUCAAACACUUAAGUGAAGAAUACGGGAAAAAACUCGGGUUAUCUGGAAACCAGUCGAAACCGGUCCAGUGGUUCAUUGGGGAAACAAACAAAGAAGGGAACUUUGAGAAAGUGAACCGGGAAGGAGUU
rnacentral:lncRNA from 1 species